ACUUUAUGCAUGGCAAGCUUAGUGACAAGAUCGAUGUCUAUGCUUUCGGAAUCAUUCUACUUGAAUUAUUGUCAGGAAAAAGACCGAUAAGCUUCGGGAAUCACGAGGGCCAGCAGAGUUUGGUCAUGUGGGCAAAGCCAAUGAUAGAGAGUGGAGAUGUGAAAGGCAUACUGGACUCUGAUUUGAAUGAAAACAUCAAUGCGGCUCAGAUGCAUAGAAUGGUUAUAGUAGCAACUCUCUGCAUCAAACGAACAGCUCAACUCCGGCCGAAGAUGAACGACGUAAUCAAGCUUUUCUAUAUCUCGCUGAAACGCCUUUGAACAGGCUUGAACUUCAUUUAUAAUUUGCAUGAUUUCUUUAGGUACUGGAGCUCUUAAGAGGGGAUAAAGCCACUGAAAAAUGUUCCUUGGCACAAGAUGAGAACAAAGAAAGCCAAGAAUAUGACACGGAUGAUGAUGAAGUUGAUCAAAAUUCAAGGGCAGAUUUACAUUUAAGCCUUGCAAUGCUUGAUGUUGAGGAUGAUUCGACAUCAUUUAGUAGCACUGAGCAAAGAAGUAACAUUUCAUUGGAGGAAUAUUUAAAAGAAAGAUGGAGCCCUUCAUCAAACUUCAAUUAGAUUCUUUUUUACAUGAAUUGACAUCUUGUUUUAAACCA